rnacentral:rRNA from 1 species
UUCCGGUUGAUCCUGCCGGUAGGCCAUUGCUAUUGGAGUCCGACUUAGCCAUGCUAGUUGCACGAGUUUAGACUCGUGGCGUAUAGCUCAGUAACACGUGGCCAAACUACCCUACAGACCGGAAUAAUCUCGGGAAACUGAGGUCAAUACCGGAUACGACUUCCACGCUGGAAUUGCGGGAAGUUGGAAAUACUACGGUGCUGUAGGAUGUGGCUGCGGCCGAUUAGGUAGACGGUGGGGUAAUGGCCCACCGUGCCAGUAAUCGGUACGGGUCGUGAGAGCGAGAGCCCGGAGACGGUAUCUGAGACAAGAUACCGGGCCCUACGGGGCGCAGCAGGCGCGAAACCUUUACACUGCACGACAGUGCGAUAGGGGGACUCCGAGUGCGAGGGCAUAUAGUCCUCGCUUUUCUGUACCGUAAGGUGGUACAGGAAUAAGAACUGGGCAAGACCGGUGCCAGCCGCCGCGGU